AAAAACAGACUUCAACUAAGAAGAGAGAGAAGGAAUUAAUAGCAGGAUGGUCAGAAAGCUGUCAUCAACUACUAGGGGAACCGGGUGAAAGGAAGAAGCUGGACUGGGUGUAUGACUUAUGCUGGUGUGAUCGACGUUCCCUAUAAUUCUUUCAGGUUGAAAGCAGUCAACCAUGUUUCAUGAGCCCCAGUCUCUGAUGGCUGAGUAUGCACAAGAGGCUAUCUACUCAUUACUCAUCUCUAAUUACUAAAUUCAGAAAUUCCUAGCAAAGUAAAU